rnacentral:rRNA from 1 species
AGAACCUUAUCCUGGUCUUGACAUGCUUGAUAACCCUCCUGAAAGCGAGGGGUGCCCUUCGGGGAGCUCUUUCACAGGUGCUGCAUGGCUGUCGUCAGCUCGUGUCGUGAGAUGUCGGGUUAAGUCCCUUAACGAGCGUUACCCUUAUCCCUAGUUGCCAUAGGAUCAUGCCGGGGACUCUAGGGAGACCGCCGGUGUUUAACCGUAGGAAGGUCGGGAUGACGUCAAGUCCUCAUGGCCUUUAUGACCAGGGCUGCACACGUCCUACAAUGGAUCGUACAAAGGGAAGCGUACUCGCGAGAGCAAGCAUAUCCCAUAAAGCGAUCCCCAGUUCAGACUGCAGGCUGCAACUCGCCUGCAUGAAGCCGGAAUCGCUAGUAAUCGCGGGUCAGCAUACCGCGUCGAAUGUGUUCCUGAGCGUUGUACACACCGCCCGUUAAGCCACGAAAGUGGGGGUUCGACGAAGUCGCCGAUACAACCUGCAAGGNGGUAAGCGCCGAAUCG